GGAGAGAUGGCCGAGACGGUCGAAGGCGCUCGACUCGAAAUCGAGUAGGCGGCUAACCCCCGCCUCGUGGGUUCGAAUCCCACUCUCUCCGCCA
rnacentral:tRNA from 1 species